GCGCACAAUGCUUGUUUACUGGAAAAUUCCUGCAGGCGCAGCUGAAGCCAGCGCCAUCUUGUAAUGGCGAUUGCGGCUCUCCACAAGGGUGGGGUUGGGAAUGAGAAAUGGGAUGUGUGGAGAAAGGAGAAACUGAGAUCAUGACUUAUUGUAUGAAACAAUUGAAUGUGAUAUCAGAAAAGUCCAGAGCAACAGGGAUUCCAGGGGCAUAUAUACAAGGCAGAAAAAUGCAAUUGACAAGCUCUAGAAAAAGGAUAACCAGAGAAUUUCAGGUUCAGCCAGGAGUCCACACCCUUCUAUUGUACCAGAGGCUCAGGAAUCAAGGAGCAACACUCAUGCCCAGACGUGAACCUGCCUGAGCUGGCUGAAGGUUGUUAUCACUGAGGAAAUUCUCACUUCUGAGUAAGAUAGAUUGGAUAGCUCUGAGAAACCUGCCACAAAUGAUCUUCUAAAAUAAACAACCUUCUAAAAUGUG
rnacentral:lncRNA from 1 species